UACGGAGGGUGCAAGCGUUAUCCGGAUUUACUGGGUUUAAAGGGUGCGUAGGUGGGUUGGUAAGUCAGUGGUGAAAUCUUCGAGCUUAACUCGGAAACUGCCAUUGAUACUAUCAAUCUUGAAUACUUUGGAGGUAAGCGGAAUAUGUCAUGUAGCGGUGAAAUGCUUAGAUAUGACAUAGAACACCAAUUGCGAAGGCAGCUUGCUACACAGAUAUUGACACUGAGGCACGAAAGCGUGGGGAUCAAACAGG
rnacentral:rRNA from 1 species